rnacentral:tRNA from 1 species
GGUGUAGCUCAGUGGUAGAGCGCUUGCCUAGCAUGUGUGAAGCCCUGGGUUUGAUUCUCAGCACC